CAAACACUCUUAAAGGCACACGGACUGACGAACUCAAAAGGUGUAGCAGUAAAGCCAGCAUAAAACGCGUUAACACGGAAGGAGUGGAAAAAGGGACGAGAAGAAAAACAAGUCCAGACGCGGAGUCUCGAGAUGGUAAUAAAAAUGAAGAAUUAAAAUUGGCCAUGAUCAGAAACAACAAUGCAUCCUAACUUUUCUAAUGUUCUAAGGCAUGUUUCACCUACGUAGAAUCUGAAGAAUCUGAAGAAUUUCAAGAAUCCUAGAAUUUGAUGUAAAAUAUUCCAUCAUUAUGUCGCGAUAGUUUGUAUAAUGUAAAUUCUCUAUUUCGAAAGUAAAAAAUAAGGGACUAAUACUUUCAUUUUGAAAAGCGAAGAAAAUGCUAUAUAGAAUAGUUUAACUGAUUUAUAAAUGUGAUGAUUUAUAUAUAUAUAUAUACAUAGAUAUAGAUAUGUAUAUAUAUAUACACACAUAUACAGUGGUGCUAGUAUAUAAAUAAGAGAAAAAAUUAUUAUAUAUACUAAAUCGAAUGCAAUUUAGUCAUAGCUAAUAUAAUUGAGCCGUUCGAAUGACAAAUUUAGCACCUCUAUCCUCUGAAUGAUAUUUUCAGAAUUGGUUGCUAAAUGCGAAUUUGAUAUGAUCGAACACUUAGUUAUUUUAUGUUUUUCUAUGACGUAAUUAGUUGAAUUUAUGAAUUAACAUUUUCUUUUAACUAUUCGUACGCUCACCACUGUAUAUAGUAUGAGCCGAUGAAUGAAAAAUGAAAAAUUUCGUAUUUUAUCGCGUUUAGUUUUCGAUCCUCUAUUCUCCCGACUUGCGGUGAACACGAUUUCCUAACGAAUUUAUGAUAAUAUGGCACGUAUGUAACUGCACAAGUUUCCCUCGGAUUGGGGUGUGUAAAAAUUAGAAACGGGGGACACUAAUAACAACAAUACACUUCGUGAAUUAUAUCUCAAAAGUUAAGUAUAUAAAGACAAGUUUGUAAAAAGAAAUAUUCCCUGAAAAUAAUUAAUUCAAAUAAUAAUAAUAACAGGAGAAAAAACAGUAGUAACAAUAUUAAUUAUUAUUAUUAUAUUA